UAAAUUUUAAAAUUAUAAUACUAAAAUAGUAAAUAAUUAUUUAUUAAAACUUAAAUAAUUUGGCGGUAUUUUAGUUCAUUUAGAGGAAUCUGUUUAAUAAUUGAUAUUCCACGAAUAAAUUUACUUAAUUUAUAAUUUUGUAUAUCGUUGUUAUAAAAAUAUUUUUUAAUAAAAUUAAUAUUUAAAAAUUAUUAUAAAAAUUUAAAUCAGAUCAAGAUGCAGAUUAUAAUUAAGAAUAUAAUGGAUUACAAUAAAAUUAUUUAAAUGAAUAUUAAUUUGUAAUAUUUAAUUGAAAGUGGAUUUAAAUGUAAUUUUAUUUAAUUUAAUAAAAUGAUUAAAAAUUAAAAUAUGU
rnacentral:rRNA from 1 species